CUGGCGGCGUGCUUAACACAUGCAAGUCGAACGGUGAAGCCCAGCUUGCUGGGUGGAUCAGUGGCGAACGGGUGAGUAACACGUGAGCAACCUGCCCCUGACUCUGGGAUAAGCGCUGGAAACGGCGUCUAAUACUGGAUAUGUGACGUGACCGCAUGGUCUGCGUCUGGAAAGAAUUUCGGUUGGGGAUGGGCUCGCGGCCUAUCAGCUUGUUGGUGAGGUAAUGGCUCACCAAGGCGUCGACGGGUAGCCGGCCUGAGAGGGUGACCGGCCACACUGGGACUGAGACACGGCCCAGACUCCUACGGGAGGCAGCAGUGGGGAAUAUUGCACAAUGGGCGCAAGCCUGAUGCAGCAACGCCGCGUGAGGGAUGACGGCCUUCGGGUUGUAAACCUCUUUUAGCAGGGAAGAAGCGAAAGUGACGGUACCUGCAGAAAAAGCGCCGGCUAACUACGUGCCAGCAGCCGCGGUAAUACGUAGGGCGCAAGCGUUAUCCGGAAUUAUUGGGCGUAAAGAGCUCGUAGGCGGUUUGUCGCGUCUGCUGUGAAAUCCGGAGGCUCAACCUCCGGCCUGCAGUGGGUACGGGCAGACUAGAGUGCGGUAGGGGAGAUUGGAAUUCCUGGUGUAGCGGUGGAAUGCGCAGAUAUCAGGAGGAACACCGAUGGCGAAGGCAGAUCUCUGGGCCGUAACUGACGCUGAGGAGCGAAAGGGUGGGGAGCAAACAGGCUUAGAUACCCUGGUAGUCCACCCCGUAAACGUUGGGAACUAGUUGUGGGGUCCAUUCCACGGAUUCCGUGACGCAGCUAACGCAUUAAGUUCCCCGCCUGGGGAGUACGGCCGCAAGGCUAAAACUCAAAGGAAUUGACGGGGACCCGCACAAGCGGCGGAGCAUGCGGAUUAAUUCGAUGCAACGCGAAGAACCUUACCAAGGCUUGACAUAUACGAGAA
rnacentral:rRNA from 1 species